CACGUAAAUACGUAACGUCAUUAUGUGGCGCACUUGAGCACUGUUCGCGUGACGACGAGUUGCGUCGUUUAGUUUAACGAGUGUUAUUACAGCUCGGGCUCAAAGAAAGAAUGCCACCAGCCAGGAAAGACCAUAUUAUCUACAAAGUGUAUGAUGUCAUUGAUGCCAUCCAGAAUGGGAACAGUGAUUUUGAAAAGGAACCUGAUACUAGUGAUGAAGAGGAAUGUGGAGAUGCAUCAAGUCAUUCAAGAACACAGACCAUGCCCCAUGACAGCUCUGGACCAAGGAGACGUCCGUGCAGAUUCAGGGUGUUUUUCCUGCGACUGAGUCUUUGGGUCUGGCAUCACAGUGUCCGUUCUUUCUUUCAACACCUUGGGCCCCGCCGUGCUUGGAAUGUGUUUAUACUCAAUCUGUGGGUAGUCAGGAGGAGAGAAAGACUGUGCUGGAGGCAGCUCUCUUGAGGAGAUCGACCUUGUCUUCAAUAUGACGGCAGAUGUCAUUUUAGUUGACUCCAGGUUGGAGUCUCUUCUGAAACUGGAUAAAAUCCUGGACAGUCUUGGUGUUGAUUUUUGGUAAAGGAACACCCACUUUGCUCAGAACCGGA